rnacentral:rRNA from 1 species
GUGAAAUUGAACUCGCUGUGAAGAUGCAGUGUACCCGCGGCAAGACGGAAAGACCCCGUGAACCUUUACUAUAGCUUGACACUGAACAUUGAGCCUUGAUGUGUAGGAUAGGUGGGAGGCUUUGAAGCGUGGACGCCAGUCUGCGUGGAGCCGACCUUGAAAUACCACCCUUUAAUGUUUGAUGUUCUAACGUGGACCCGUGAUCCGGGUUGCGGACAGUGUCUGGUGGGUAGUUUGACUGGGGCGGUCUCCUCCUAAAGAGUAACGGAGGAGCACGAAGGUUGGCUAAUCCUGGUCGGACAUCAGGAGGUUAGUGCAAUGGCAUAAGCCAGCUUGACUGCGAGCGUGACGGCGCGAGCAGGUGCGAAAGCAGGUCAUAGUGAUCCGGUGGUUCUGAAUGGAAGGGCCAUCGCUCAACGGAUAAAAGGUACUCCGGGGAUAACAGGCUGAUACCGCCCAAGAGUUCAUAUCGACGGCGGUGUUUGGCACCUCGAUGUCGGCUCAUCACAUCCUGGGGCUGAAGUAGGUCCCAAGGGUAUGGCUGUUCGCCAUUUAAAGUGGUACGCGAGCUGGGUUUAGAACGUCGUGAGACAGUUCGGUCCCUAUCUGCCGUGGGCGCUGGAGAACUGAGGGGGGCUGCUCCUAGUACGAGAGGACCGGAGUGGACGCAUCACUGGUGUUCGGGUUGUCAUGCCAAUGGCACUGCCCGGUAGCUAAAUGCGGAAGAGAUAAGUGCUGAAAGCAUCUAAGCACGAAACUUGCCCCGAGAUGAGUUCUCCCUGAGACUUAAAGUCUCCUGAAGGAACGUUGAAGACGACGACGUUGAUAGGCCGGGUGUGUAAGCGCAGCGAUGCGUUGAGCUAACCGGUACUAAUGAACCGUGAGGCUUAACCUUACAACGCCGAAG